UUGAAGCAGCAGGAGUCAGGCAGCACAGUGAAUGGACCCCGGGGGGUGGGGGGGGGGGUGGUCUCGAGGGAGCUUCUGUUUGCCACCAUGUACACAGCCCCCCUUGGAAAGAAUCGAGCCUUCUGGGCAGGCUGACCUGAGGUGACCAGUUUCUUUUCCAAACGACAGCAUAGGAUGAGUAAUUUUUCCAGCAGCUCUCCCAUCGUCAGCCUCUCCGCUUCUCUGGGGCUUUAAUUUAUCUUCUCGAGAUUAUUUUCUUAACGCUUUUAGAAAGGUUACGUGCCAAAAAAGGAAAAGCGAUCUCCACGUGCGCACGUGGAGAGGAAAGAUCUGGGGUUAAAGAGCGAGUGGCGGAAUGAUGUGUGUGGGAUCCGCAAAGCACAUCAAAUAUUAGGCGGAAACAUACAAAGGUGGUGCACAUUUGACCAUUGUGACCCGUAAAACCAGCGGUUUCACGUGGUUUAUAAUACGUAUAACUGUUAUCUCUUUAAGGAUGCACGCCAAACCAUCAAGUGUCUUUGGCAAGGGGCGUGGAUUUGGGAAAGAGAGAAGGCCUUAGUAAAGUGACAGCGUUCUCUUUACUCAAGCAUCUGAUAAAAUCUGGAAAAUAUCAGGGAGGAUCCGAGGGUUCCAUCACCUUCUUCUCCUUAGUGGCAGAAAAAAAAAAGAAAAAGAAAAAAAAGAAAA